rnacentral:rRNA from 1 species
UACGGGGGGGGCAAGCGUUGUUCGGAAUUACUGGGCGUAAAGGGCUCGUAGGCGGCCAACUAAGUCAUACGUGAAAUCCCUCGGCUUAACCGGGGAACUGCGUCUGAUACUGGAUGGCUUGAGUUCGGGAGAGUGAUGCGGAAUUCCAGGUGUAGCGGUGAAAUGCGUAGAUAUCUGGAGGAACACUGGUGGCGAAGGCGGCAUCCUGGACCGAUACUGACGCUGAGGAGCGAAAGCCAGGGGAGCAAACGGG